rnacentral:rRNA from 1 species
GACGAACGCUGGCGGCAUGCCUAACACAUGCAAGUCGAACGAGACCUUCUGUUCGAUUUUCUCACGGGUUCGUAACGCGUGGGAACCUUCCCUUAGGGUCGGAAUAACUCCCCGAAAGGGGUGCUAAUACCGGGUAAUGUCGUCAGACCAAAGAUUUAUCACCUUUGGAUGGGCCCGCGUUGGAUUAGCUAGUUGUUAGGGUAAAAGCCUACCAAGGCGACGAUCCGUAGCUGGUCUGAGAGGAUGAUCAGCCACACUGGGACUGAGACACGGCCCAGACUCCUACGGGAGGCAGCAGUGGGGAAUAUUGGACAAUGGGCGAAAGCCUGAUCCAGCAAUGCCGCGUGAGUGAUGAAGGACUUAGGGUUGUAAAGCUCUUUUACCCGGGAUGAUAAUGACAGUACCGGGAGAAUAAGCUCCGGCUAACUCCGUG